rnacentral:rRNA from 1 species
UACGAAGGGGGCUAGCGUUGCUCGGAAUCACUGGGCGUAAAGGGUGCGUAGGCGGGUCUUUAAGUCAGGGGUGAAAUCCUGGAGCUCAACUCCAGAACUGCCUUUGAUACUGAGGAUCUUGAGUUCGGGAGAGGUGAGUGGAACUGCGAGUGUAGAGGUGAAAUUCGUAGAUAUUCGCAGGAACACCAGUGGCGAAGGCGGCUUACUGGUCCAUAACUGACGCUGAGGUGCGAAAGCGUGGGGAGCAAACAGGG